UUCCCAUUUUCAACCAUAAAUUGCGUGCUGGAAAACAUUAAUCUGUUAACUAAAGAAGACUUCGUCACUUAAGCGAAAAGCACGCAAAGUUUAAUAGCUAUACUUUCAGGACGACUGGUAUUUUCAAUUAUAUCAUUACGCUUUAAUCACCUGAAGAGAAGAUAUGUGAUCUUAAAAUGCAUAUUUUGCAUACAAAAUGUAUUAAUCUUUCUAUAUUCACCGUUUAUGCAGGAAAAUGAUAUUACUUUUCGUAAGAAAUUAAAUACCGAUAUAAUAAAAUAGCAGGGUUCAGACUUCAUUAAUAAAUUACACGCCAGGAGCUAUUUAUAAACUGAUAGCACUUUGCUUCCUGUAUACGAGAAUAAUUAUCUCAAGUUUCACUUACAUUAUGAACACGGUUCGUCGAAGAACAGUAAAAUAUUCCGAGGAAUGGCACGAUAUGCACGAGACAAUUUAUCAUAAUCCGGGACAAUGGGUUAACCGCAAUAAAGGAAGUCGAUUAUGGUUCAAAGGCAAGAUAUACCUAGUUCAAUCAAGAGUGCAGCGGCAAAGUACCGACAAGUCAACGAGUCUUUGAUCGUGUUUGGAUCUUAAAUUGGAACGUCCGCCUAACCAAUCAACCCACCUUUCAUUGAUCGACAAUUUUUAUUGAUUGGACAAAUUAAAACAUAUGAAUGGAAACGUUCUUCCAUGCAAUUGCCAUUGGUGAGCAUCAGGGAUAGUGUGAUAGGUUCAUGGAACAAAAUUCAAUCUUGUGAUUUUUAAUAAAAAACGUAUCUGCUGUAUUAUCACCGUAAUAUAAUACAAUGUUACUUGACAUGAUCAACAGUCGAUACAGUAAACGGUUUGUAUCUACACCGCUGAAUUGUCCGCCUACUGUUACGAUACAAAUUAACACGAGAAUAUUUACGCUUAAAUAAAGAAAACAGUCUUUCGAGGUACAGCGACUUAAUAACUGCGACAUGAUACGUGAUUAAUCAUUAUACAGUAAAUGCACGCAUAGUACACGAACUUAUUCUAAUUUGCCCUACGUGGAAAAAGAAAGCAAGAGGAAUACUGAUUAUUAUCUAAGAAUAGUAAAUCACGAAAUGCCCCAAAC